rnacentral:miRNA from 1 species
GGGUGUAGUAUGCAUGUGUGCAUGUGUAUGUUUUACGGGUAUGUGCAUUUAAGGAGUGUGUGCACAACUAGCAUGCA